AUUGAACGCUGGCGGCAGGCUUAACACAUGCAAGUCGAGCGGGGUGAUGGUGCUUGCACUAUCACUUAGCGGCGGACGGGUGAGUAAUGCUUAGGAAUCUGCCUAUUAGUGGGGGACAACAUCUCGAAAGGGAUGCUAAUACCGCAUACGUCCUACGGGAGAAAGCAGGGGAUCACUUGUGACCUUGCGCUAAUAGAUGAGCCUAAGUCGGAUUAGCUAGUUGGUGGGGUAAAGGCCUACCAAGGCGACGAUCUGUAGCGGGUCUGAGAGGAUGAUCCGCCACACUGGGACUGAGACACGGCCCAGACUCCUACGAGAGGCAGCAGUGGGGAAUAUUGGACAAUGGGGGGAACCCUGAUCCAGCCAUGCCGCGUGUGUGAAGAAGGCCUUAUGGUUGUAAAGCACUUUAAGCGAGGAGGAGGCUCUUUUGGUUAAUACCCAAGAUAAGUGGACGUUACUCGCAGAAUAAGCACCGGCUAACUCUGUGCCAGCCGCCGCAGUAG
rnacentral:rRNA from 1 species